ACUUGAAUCACUAGGGAUCUUAUUAAAAUUCAGAUUCUGAAUCCAUAGGGUUGAGAUUCUGCAUUUCUAAUAAGCUCCCAGCAGAUGCUGAU
rnacentral:pre_miRNA from 1 species